rnacentral:sRNA from 1 species
GCCAGGCAUGGUGGCACAUGCCUGUAGUCCCAGCUACUCGGGAGGCUGAGGCAGGAGGAUCGCUUGAGCCCAGGAGUUUGAGGUUGCUGUGAGCGAGGCUGACACCAUGGCACUCUAGUCCAGACAACACAGUGAGACUCUGUCUCAAACAAAAAAAAAAAGAGUAAGCCUCUGUACCCUUUUUUGAGAGAGAGUCUUACUCUGUUGACCAGGCAUCAUCAUAGUUCACUGCAACCUCAAACUCCUGGGCUCAAGUCAUCUCCUGCCUCA